rnacentral:rRNA from 1 species
GUGUUGUGUUCGGGUUGUCAUGCCAAUGGCACUGCCCGGUAGCUAAAUGCGGAAGAGAUAAGUGCUGAAAGCAUCUAAGCACGAAACUUGCCCCGAGAUGAGUUCUCCCUGAGACUUAGAGUCUCCUGAAGGAACGUUGAAGACGACGACGUUGAUAGGCCGGGUGUGUAAGCGCAGCGAUGCGUUGAGCUAACCGGUACUAAUGAACCGUGAGGCUUAACCUU